rnacentral:snoRNA from 1 species
CCAUCUCAUACAUUAAGGGUUCAACACUGAGAGGGAUGUCUUUGUGCGGGUGCGUGUGCGUGUGUGUGCGCCCGUGUGGUCUGACCAGAGGGGCGUGCUCGGACGCGCUCUUCCGCCCUCUUCGCGCUCCACACACACACACACACCCUUGCACAGACCUCUGCCCCCUCUCGCCUUUCUUCCAUAGUGUUUGCCUGAGUCAUGUGAGAGAGAGCG